UACGAAGGGUGCAAGCGUUACUCGGAAUUACUGGGCGUAAAGCGUGCGUAGGUGGUUUGUUAAGUCUGAUGUGAAAGCCCUGGGCUCAACCUGGGAAUUGCAUUGGAUACUGGCAGGCUAGGGUGCGGUAGAGGAUGGCGGAAUUCCCGGUGUAGCAGUGAAAUGCGUAGAGAUCGGGAGGAACAUCUGUGGCGAAGGCGGCCAUCUGGACCAGCACUGACACUGAGGCACGAAAGCGUGGGGAGCAAACAGG
rnacentral:rRNA from 1 species